GCAGGAGAUCAUUUUUCUCAGUUUAAGGGAUUAGCGGUCGCUCUUCGCUGGAGUCAUUAGAGGGACCUGAAAAUUAGGCUGAUCCUUCGUACCCAGCUGUGCUGUCGCUGGGGGUUGGAGAAGGGGAUCAGAGGGAGGCCCUUUCCAACCACCACCACCCCCUCCCUGCCUCCCUCCUCCUGUCCUAUUCACUGAGGGCCAGCAGAAGUGUCGGGCAGUGUCUCGAGUGUUUUGUGGAAAAUAAUUCAACACUUAUCUGUUCUACAAAGAAGUGUGAUUGAGAUUUUUUUUCUUUUCUUUUUUCGGUUCCCCUCGCACAACCUGUUACAUCAUAUUGUCGUUUUAUUUUCUUUGAGAACAUCAGAAGGAAUCCAGUAUUUACACUCCCCGCACACGCAGCCCCACUUUCAUAAUGAGGCAUCGUUUAUGCAUUUAUGCUAAUUGGGGCCAUCUAGGUGAAAAUAUUCUCCAGCCAAAAUGUUAUUAACAACUUUGAGACACUUUUUUUUUCAAUCAGCAUUUUUUUUAAAGGUUUCACACAGAUGCGCUUUGAAAAGGACCACAUUUCUGAUUGGGCAAGAUCACACUCCAUGGCAGCUGGUUCAUUUGCUUCUCAAGAUGACAGAUGGCAAAACACAAACACAAAAAGAGGGAGCCAUGAUUAAGUAAUGAGAAUGCCUGCCACAAUAAGGAAACUACCAAACAUACUUUUUCCCCCCACUUUUUGCUGGUUAACUUUUGCCUUGCUUUAUGAAAGCAAAAGGCAAGAAAGCAGACAUGGAAAACUGUACAUCUGAUUUACAUUUUUACGAUUCUGUGCUGUGUGUUUGCUGCUCCAUUUCUGCUUACCAGUCUACAAGAUUUACAGGUUUGAGUUAAACACACUGUGAGCUUUGAAGCAGGGAGAAGAAUGUCUUAAUUUUGUGACAUUUGCCUACUUUUUUUUUUUUUUUUUAAUUGAGCAUCAUUUUAAUUGCAGGCAAAAGAGUAACUGGGGCCCUGGCCAGUGUUUUGCCCCGCAGAUGGGCAGCAGUGUUUGUGAACACCAGUGCGGCAGUUGGCAGGGAUUGAGGAGGAGGUGGCGGGGUGUGUGUCUGUGUGUGUGUGUGUGUGUGUGUGUGGUGGUGGUGGGGGAGGGAUGGGCAGAUUGCAAUGGCACAUGCUCCAAUUCAAAUUAUCCCUGGACCCAUGCAGCAGUGGAGGACCUGCUGGGGCCCAGGGUGGCAUUCAUUAUAACCAGACACAGGCAGGUUUUGGUCAGCGCCUCCAUCGUGACGCGAGUCCCGAAAGCAUCAAAUCUGGACUCUUUGCGGUUUUACGACUGCACCUAAAAGGAAAUGUGCAUUUUUAUUUGCGCACGUUUUGCCACAAAUUAUCAUUAAGGAGAUGCAAGCAAAUGUCAAGGACUGCACGGGGAGGAAGAUGGUGAGUGAUCUGCAGGUCAACAGAAAACAUCAAGGUCAUGGAGGUAAUGAGGAGAGCGUGUCUGAUGAAGAUGCAGCAUAAUGGCAAAAAUGACAAGACAAGUGUUAAAUGAAUGCAAAUCAAAUUACACAUCAAAUGUGGCUCUUCUCCCCCACCACCACCACCACCUCCUUGGUUAAAGUCUUUUUAAAGGCUUCUUGUACAGUACUGUAUGUGUUCAUAAUCUGAUGGGAAGUUACCAAUUAUCUCUCCCUAAUUACAUCCGUAUUACUGCUUGAAAAAUGAGCUUUCUGGCAUUUCUAAUGCUGCUAAAGAGUUGGUGAAUGAGAGAGGCGAGCGCAAAUCUUAAAAAAAAAAAAAAAAAACUGAAAAUUUAAUGAUCUACAUUAUUGCUUACAACUAUUGCUCUUCCUUGGGCUUGGUGAAGUUAAUUAACAGAUUAGGAUGGGGGGGGUAGUGUGUGAUAUCCCUUGCGGCGCUGGAUAGUAUUGGCCAAUGCAAGAAAUGUGUAAUAUGUAUAUAUGUAUAUUUAGAAUAAUGAUAAUAAAAAAAAGUCUGGAUUUAUGUGUUUGUGUUGAAAUGAGCCACAUCAGAGCGCAUCAACUGGAAGUUUUAAAUGCCCACGAGGUGCUGGCGUUAAUGGGGCUGUUACGACAUCAAAAUGUCACGUAGCAAGCCGUGGCUAAUCCACACACACACACACACACACACAAAAAAAACAAAAAAAACAUGGAAGUGUAAAAAUGUUCCUCUUGGCUCAUCGCUGGACGUGUUGAUGGUGAGGUGGUGGUGGUGAGAGGGGAGGAAAAAAAAGUGAAAUUGACAAUAUCAUUGUAGGAGCGCACUAAAGGGGCGACGGUCCGCUCCACUACACUGAAGUAGGGAUGUCUACAGUGGAAGAAGAAGAAGGGGGAGGGUACCACUUUGUCACAGGCUGCUAUGUAGAUUAACCUUUCAAUUAGUUGUUAUCAGGUCCUCUCCAUGUCUCGGCGCAAGCUUUUCAGCCUUCGUUUCAGGACAUCAAAUCCCGCAAAAUCGCUCGGAUAUGUCGCGUCGCAUUUUAUCCUUCGACGUUUUCCCCGAUAAUGAAGAGGACUAUCCGAGGGGGGGAAAAACUUGAAGAGGUAAAACUACCAGCAAAUAUUUACGGUAGCCUGUGCCCUCUCUCUCUCCCUCUCUCCCUCACGCUCUCCCUCUCUCGCUCCCUCUUUC
ensembl:lncRNA